rnacentral:lncRNA from 1 species
NNNNNNNNNNUUGCGCGCCGAGAUUGCGGCGGGGCCACACGACAGUGGUGACCCCAGACUGCCGCCGGGCAAGAUGGAGCCCCGGGCUCCCUUAGCGGGCUCGCGGCUCUGGGACCUGGGCUGUCUGGCCUUGGCCGUCGGUGCCUGGCCGAGCACGCGCUCUCCGGCCUGCCCGGCGCCUGUCCUCCACGUUUGCCGGGCCUCGGGCCAUCGCGUGCCCUUCGCUUCAUCCUGGCUCCGUGGGCAGUGACCCUCUCAUAGGAGUCCCACCGGGCGCAUUCGGAGCGGAGCCGCUGGAGGGCGGCACGAGGGUCUUUUGUUCCUCGUCUACACCCACGUCNNNNNNNNNNNNNNNNNNNNNNNNNNNNNNNNNNNNNNNNNNNNGAUUGAGGUUCUUGUUACAUAAUAUGUGAAAAUAUAUGACUCUUAACUGGACUUGGUGGCGCAUGCUUUUAGUUCCAACACUUGCAGGCAGAGGCAGUUGGAUAUCUGUGAGUUCGAGGCCAGGUUGGUCUACAAAGUGGAUUCCUGGACAGUCAGGGCUACACAGAAAAACCCUAACUUGAAAAACCAAAAGAGCAAAAAUAUAUAUGGGUCUCUCUUUUAAGACAAUGUCUAGCAUAGUCUGGCCUGGAACUCUGUGAUCUUUCUUCUGCCUUUGCCUCUCUCUUCCUCUGCCUCUGGAGCAUUGGUAUUGUAAGCAUGUCACCACUGCUUUCUUGGUUUAGGCUUAGAUAUGAUUUGAAAACAAAAUCCCACACCUCAUAGCACACGAAUGGAGUGCCAGUAUUAAAGGCACAGAAGUAGCAGAAUCAGUUCAAAGCUGACCCGGGAUACAUUAACUGCCUCAAAGAGAAAAAACAAAACAAAACCACAAAAACCAGGCAGCUGAGUGGAAGGCUAUUAGAUGGCUCAGAGAUUAUGAGUGCUUCCUGCUCUUAAAGACUACCAGAUUUGUACCUUCGUGGAGCAGUUUCCAACUGCCAGCAACUGCAGUUCCAGGAGAUCCAAGCCCUUUUUUGGUCAAGCUCUUCUGGCCUAUCUACACACAUAGAUGUACAAAUACAUUCAUGAGCACAUAUACAUAUCUCAGAGUUACAGAAACCGGAGGUUUUUUUUCAAUAUUUAAAACGCACAUCCCCUUAUUUUCUCUUCUGAAGUAUGAUAAAAGCAUGCUCAUUGGAUGACAAACAUAUAACCCUAAGUCAUGUUUCUUGUCCGUGGGUUGAUUGGUGGGAGAGUUAAGUAAGCUUUUAUAUUACAUAAUGCUUUACUCUCUGGACGUUACCAACAUCACCAGCAUUUUAUUUAAGUCUUCAAUGGCUGAAAAUAAAUGUGUUAAUCAUAGUAACAUUUCCACGACUGCUGAAGAUGAUAACCAUCCCCCUUUCUCUUAAGCAUUUGGAAAUACAAAACUGUAGGUCCACUAAGUUGAUUCACAAGGAUUCUCUAGGUUUGGAGAGACUAAAUGUUUUUAGGCUUGGUAGCUACAGGCCAUAUGUUUUCUGAAGCCCCAUUUCCACAAUUCUCUAAUAUUAGUAGUGUUCAAAAUUAAAACUUACCUGUUUCCCUUAGUAAUGACAAGAAUGAACGCUGUCCCUUUAGUGUGCUGCUGUGUUGAGUGUGUCAGUCAGUUUGAUGCUGCUAUGCAAGAGUUCCACAUACCAUAAAUUAGAACUACAGUAGUUUAUGUGGCUAGUGCUUUUAGAGGCUAGAAUUUCAGUAGGGAGACACAUCUGGUAAGGGACUCUGGAAGUAUUGCAAGUGCUAGAAAACAAGGGCAGGAACAGAACACUCUAGUAACUCACACUCAUAAAGGAGCCACUCCUGCAAUAGAUACUUAACUCUCAGAAUUUCACCAUAUGUCCACCUAAAAUGGUAGAAUGCUUAAGACCCAGGUGUCUCUUAAUGUGUCAAUUCCCUUUGCAAUCUCAGCAGCCAAUAAGUAAUAUGGAUUUUGGAAGGAACAUUCAAAGUAUAGAGUUUUGAAAUUCUGGAACAAAGUUUACUCAUCAUUAAUAAUUGGUGCUUUCAUAAAUUUAAUGUCAGAAUUGUUUGAGCUGAGUCUGGUGGCUCUCCAUGGUCAACACUUAGUAGGCAGAGCCAGGCAUAUUUCUGUGAGUUUGAGGAUAACCUAGUCUAUGCAGUGAGUCCCAGGCAUACCAGAGCUACAUAGUGAGACCCUGUCUCAUAAAACAAAACAAAAAUAACAGAACUUUUUCUAAAGUUGUAACGAUUCUGUGAGAGUAAACUCCAGAGCAGUGUGAUGUAGCGACAUCAGACUGAGCUUUGCAGUAGCAGACCUGUACUCAGCAUCUGUUCAGAGCUGGGGAUGAUGACCUAGUGACUGUAACACCAGCACUUGGGACCGUGAAGCAGGAAGAUUGUGAAUUCAAGGCCUGCCUGGCUUCCAUAGAUCCUGUGUCAACAAAACAAAACGUUAAAAAUGUAUAAGUUUUUCAAAAUAAGCCCCAGGCAUAGUGAUACAGCUUGUAACCCAUAUCUUUGAAGACAGAGGCAGGAAGCUGGAAGGCUGAGCCCAAGUCUGCAAAAUAAUGAGAUGUCUCAGAAAUAAAAUAUUUUUCCUCAAGAAAAUACUGAAAUGUUACAAAAAUUAAGAGACUAGUUAAGAUAGGGCAUACAUUUUUUUGAAAAUUUUUAUUAGAUAUUCCAGAAGAAGUCAACUGAGGCAAUAUUGAAAAUAAUUACUGAGAUUUUUCUAGUGGGCAUGAAAGAUACAUUUCAGGAUGGAAAAAUAUGUAAAGAAUAGAGUAAUUAAAAGCAAACCCUUUUUGGGACAGCCAGGAUACAUCAAGAGACCCUGUCUCAAGAACAACCUCCCAACAAAUCUUUACAACUAUGUCCAAAUGGCCGACUAUUAGAAUGGUUGGAGAGAUGGCUCAGCAAUUAAGAGCACUGUCUGCUCUUCCAGAGGUCCUGAGUUCAAUACCCAGCAACCACAUGGUGGCCCCCAACCAACUGUAAUGGGAUCUGAUGCUCUCUUCUGGGUGUCUGAAGACAGCUACAGUGUAUUCACAUACAUAC